AGCGAACGCUGGCGGCAGGCCCAACACAUGCAAGUCGAACGAACCCUUCGGGGUUAGUGGCGGACGGGUGAGUAACACGUGGGAACGUGCCUCUAGGUUCGGAAUAACUCAGGGAAACUUGUGCUAAUACCGAAUGUGCCCUUCGGGGGAAAGAUUUAUCGCCUUUAGAGCGGCCCGCGUCUGAUUAGCUAGUUGGUGAGGUAAUGGCUCACCAAGGCUACGAUCAGUAGCUGGUCUGAGAGGAUGACCAGCCACAUUGGGACUGAGACACGGCCCAAACUCCUACGGGAGGCAGCAGUGGGGAAUCUUGCGCAAUGGGCGAAAGCCUGACGCAGCCAUGCCGCGUGGAUGAUGAAGGUCUUAGGAUUGUAAAAUCCUUUCACCGGUGAAGAUAAUGACUGUAGCCGGAGAAGAAGCCCCGGCUAACUUCGUGCCAGCCGCCGCGGUAACAC
rnacentral:rRNA from 1 species